rnacentral:rRNA from 1 species
CGGACGGGUGAGUAAUGUCUGGGAAACUGCCUGAUGGAGGGGGAUAACUACUGGAAACGGUAGCUAAUACCGCAUAACGUCGCAAGACCAAAGAGGGGGACCUUCGGGCCUCUUGCCAUCGGAUGUGCCCAGAUGGGAUUAGCUAAUAGGUGGGGUAACGGCUCACCUAGGCGACGAUCCCUAGCUGGUCUGAGAGGAUGACCAGCCACACUGGAACUGAGACACGGUCCAG